rnacentral:rRNA from 1 species
UACGUAGGGGGCGAGCGUUAAUCGGAAUUACUGGGCGUAAAGCGUGCGCAGGCGGCUCUUCAAGUCAGAUGUGAAAGCCCCGGGCUUAACCUGGGAAUGGCGUUUGAAACUGGAGGGCUGGAGUGUGGCAGAGGGAGGUGGAAUUCCACGUGUAGCAGUGAAAUGCGUAGAUAUGUGGAGGAACACCGAUGGCGAAGGCAGCCUCCUGGGCCAACACUGACGCUCAUGCACGAAAGAGUGGGGAGCAAACAGG